CAGCAGCCGCGGUAAUACAGAGGGUGCGAGCGUUAAUCGGAUUUACUGGGCGUAAAGCGUGCGCAGGCGGUUCGUUAAGACAGAUGUGAAAUCCCCGGGCUUAACCUGGGAACUGCAUUUGUGACUGACGGGCUAGAGUAUGGCAGAGGGGGGUAGAAUUCCACGUGUAGCAGUGAAAUGCGUAGAGAUGUGGAGGAAUACCGAUGGCGAAGGCAGCCCCCUGGGCCAAUACUGACGCUCAUGCACGAAAGCGUGGGGAGCAAACAGGAUUAGAGACCCGAGUAGUCCCUGUCUCUUAUAC
rnacentral:rRNA from 1 species